GACGAACGCUGGCGGCGUGCCUAAUACAUGCAAGUCGAACGCAGGGGGGACGGGUGAGUAACACGUGGGUAACCUCCCAUCAGAGGGGAUAACACUUGGAAACAGGUGCUAAAACCGAUAUUGAUGGAUGGACCCGCGGUGCAUUAGCUAGGUGGGGGGGUAACGGCUCACCAAGGCCACGAUGCAUAGCCGACCUGAGGGGGGGACCGGCCAAACUGGGACUGAGACACGGCCCAGACUCCUACGGGAGGAAGCAGUGGGGAAUCUUCGGCAAUGGACGAAAGUCUGAGCGAGCAAGGCCGCGGGGGUGAGGAAGGUUUUCGGUUCGUAAAAUCCUUUUGUUAGGGAGGCGGUAUCUAACCAGAAAGCCACGGCUAACUACGUGCCAGCAGCCGCGGUAAUAC
rnacentral:rRNA from 1 species